AUGUAUGAUAAAUAAACACGAUUAAUAAAUUUCCGAGAUAUUCACAAAAAGAUCCGGAUCCAUUCUCUCGCUCAAUAGAAGAGUCAAAAUAAUUUCCACACAAUUUUUUUUUUUCCACAAAUUAGUUGGUGAUGAGACGAUGGUAACUGUGGUUGGCAGGUGACGGAAAACAAAAGCGACGGGUCCCCUCUGCGGCUCUGCGUCAGUCAUAUCUCCACCUUGGUAAUCAUGAACGCAGCUGACGAGAACACUUUUCAUUGGGAUUCUGAGACGAUGAAUGUGUAAUAUUACUGAACUGCCACCGGUUAAAUAUAAAUGUUAAGUUCUAAAGUUAUAACAUCUAAUUUAAUAUUUGGGUGUGGAACCAGUUAUAUGUGUGUGCGUGUAUUAUUGGCAAUGCAGUAGCUUUCAGGCCCUCGAAACCUUCCACUGUUGUGUUUCACAGUGGAGCUUCGAACUCCAUUGCCGUAGCUAGUCUCAUGCAAGUGAAUAUUCUGCUCGUGUGUCAGAUUAUAUAUCUCUCGGGCUGGACGGAAGAACACAUAUGUUAUUUCUAUAAUUUCAUAUGUUAAUAAAAAUGACAAAAAUAAUAAUACCUUACUUGUCAGGAAUACAGUGCAAAGUUUUUUUUUUGGAAAAACUGCUACAACAAAGCCAGGGCUAAGAAGCCAAACAAACAGAAAGCCAACAGAAGCCAAACAAGCAGCAUAAGCAAGACAAGCUGUGCAGGGAUUUACAAGAAAAGAGACGCAGCACCUCAUGCCCAGGCGUCAUCCCUGCAAAGCUAAAAAAACUAAUGAGUACACGGCAAACCAUCAUUGUUUAAGACACAGUGCAAAGUUUUUUUAAGAAAAAAAAUAUAAGGUGGUCAAAUGGGACUGAAGAACGAGCUAGAAACCAGAAAGGAAGAAUACUUUGAAUAGGCAUGGCAAUUGACAUCCAGAUGCUUUCGCUUCCGAGUUCCUUCCUUCCACCAUUUUAUUUAGUUUAUGAUAUUAUUGUGUGUAUAAGAUGACAAUAAUUGUCAUGUGAAAAGUGCAGAAGUUGCCUCAGAAUCAGAUUGCACUCACACUCAUCGCUCCUUACUCAAACAUUUUUGGUCCUCACCGAACAGUCAACACAUGCUAUUGCUUGUGAUUCACUAAAUUAUUAAACUCAUUGGUCCAACUGCGUACAUGCAUUAACUUUACCAGCGAUAUAUAUCGUCGAUAUUACUGAUGAUAUAGCUUAUGCUUUUUCCAAUGUUAUAGUUGUUGAUAUUUAGUUGAAAAUGUAAUUAACUUUGACAUGUAAUGAAUGUUUUAACUAUCUAGAAUGUGGAUUACUCACAAAUUGUGUUUUUUGUUAUGCAUAAUUUUUUACAUGAUUAUUGUUCAGUGAUGACUUAAAAUGAUGUUUAAAUUAUGUAAAAUAUAUAUGGUAACGUUAAACGAGUGAUUGACAUUAAAUUGAUUAAUUAAAUAGCGUUUGAACAAUAUUACGUAUUUUAAAACUACUAUGUGUCUUAUAUUGGUCUCAUUUUACUUUUUAUUAUUUUGACGAUGGGGUAAUAUACUAAUAUAUAUAGCAAGGACUACAUCUGUUGAUGGGUUUGGGAAAUUGUGCAUUUCCAUGGUUGAAAAUAGGAUAUAAAAUGGGGGAGGAGAGGACCAUUGUUCCCAGUAUUAUCCUAAUUAAUAUAUUUAUUCUGUUUAAUUAUGCAUAAAGGAGUGUACUAUUCACGCACAUUUUUUUACUUCUCUCAUAUUCCUUGUUAAUUUUUGUCAUUUGAUAUUUUUCAAUUUAUCCAAUCCAACGGCAGAAAAUUAAAAGGAUGUGAGAAAAGUAAAAAAUGAUGUGUGGAUAUCACAUCCCAUACAUAAAACGUAAGCCACUGCCUGCCAUUGAAAAGUUUAAUUAUGCAUGUAAUUGAAAAGUUUAAUUAUGCAUGUAAAUAAAAAGUAUAGAAUAAUAUGGUGGAUGGUGGAGGUGCCAUUGAAAUGAGAUUGGAACAUAAGAAUCUU
rnacentral:lncRNA from 1 species